UGGGGAAUUUUGCACAAUGGGGGAAACCCUGAUGCAGCGACGCCGCGUGAUUUAGAAGGCCUUCGGGUUGUAAAAAUCUUUUCUAUGGGAAGAAAAUGACAGUACCAUAGGAAUAAGGACCGGCUAAUUACGUGCCAGCAGCCGCGGUAAUACGUAAGGUCCGAGCGUUGUCCGGAAUCAUUGGGCGUAAAGGGUACGUAGGCGGGUAAGCAAGUUAGAAGUGAAAUCCUAUAGCUCAACUAUAGUAAGCUUUUAAAACUGCUCAUCUUGAGGUAUGGAAGGGAAAGUGGAAUUCCUAGUGUAGCGGUGAAAUGCGCAGAUAUUAGGAGGAAUACCGGUGGCGAAGGCGACUUUCUCGCCAUAACCUGACGCUGAGGUACGAAAGCGUGGGUAGCAAACAGG
rnacentral:rRNA from 1 species